rnacentral:rRNA from 1 species
UACAGAGGGUGCGAGCGUUGUCCGGAAUCACUGGGCGUAAAGGGCGCGUAGGCGGCCUGUUAAGUCGGGGGUGAAAUCCCGUGGCUUAACUGCAGGGCUGCCUCCUAGACUGUUAGGCUCGAGCACGGUAGAGGCAGAUGGAAUUCCCGGUGUAGCGGUGGAAUGCGUAGAGAUCGGGAAGAACAUCGGUGGCGAAGGCGGUCUGCUGGGCCGUUGCUGACGCUGAGGCGCGACAGCGUGGGGAGCAAACAGG